AAUUAGUAAGAAGAAAGGUCACCGGGCUCCGCGCAGUUCGGCGUUCUACGGCGCGAGGGAAAACCCGUCGACUCUCUCCGCGAUAAUAUUCUAACGCGAAUAAUGGAGAUAUUAGCAUAUGAGAGCUUUUAUAUCGGCGGCCUUAGAUUACACACCAAGUAACGAGUGUAUUCUCGUGUAAGUAUAUACUUCGAUUCUCUGCAUAGCGGAGAUUAUACUCUCGCUGGGAUGCUUGAUAUAAUUCAAAGCUGCCGAUAGCGAAGCUGUAGAGUUUCCAUGUAUUAUAAGCCUGUACGAGCUUAUGGACUCCUUAGAGUCACGACCUCCUUGAUCUGAAGCGCCAUGGAAUGUCUGGCGGAAUUAUUAAAUGCUUUUGAAGCGUUGUGCAAAUUAGAAAUAGUCUUGCCAGAUAAAAUCAAAUGGAUGGUAAUACAACCAGACUUCCAGGAGGGCGACAAAAUUUUCCCGGACAUGGUGAACGACAAAUUCUGAGAUAAAAUCAAAUGGACGGUAAUACAACCAGACUUCCAGGAGGGCGACAAAAUUUUCCCGGACAUGGUGAACGACAAAUUCUGAGAUAAAAUUAAAUGGAAGGUAAUACAACCAGAGUUCCAGGAGAGUGACAAAAUUUUCCCGGACAUGGUGAACGACAAAUUCUGAGGUAAAUCAAGUUCCAGGAGUAUCGGAGAGACAGUCCAUGUAUAUUGCCAUUCAUUUAUGUUAUAGUUAACUUUUCCACUGUAAUGUUGACGAUAAUAAUUUAUUAAUUUGCAGAUAAAAUCAAAUGGACGGUAAUACAACGAGACUUCCAGGAGAGCGACAAAAUUUUCCCGGACAUGAUGAACGACAAAUUCUGAGGGAAGUCAAGUUCCAGAAGUAUUGGAGAGAUAGUGUAUAUCGCCCGAGUGCCGCAGUUCCAAUCAGGUGGUGAGUCUUGAAAAUUUAUCGCUUUGAACAUAAAUCGCCUGUACAUAAACUACCGUACGUCCAUCUUCGAAAUUGGUACUAGCACGUUACACAUUCGCCAUAAAAUCUGCACAUUUACAAAUGUGGCGGACGAGAGAGAACAACGUCGUGAAAACGUUCACUGUUAAUUUAAAUAUAGUUCAGCAUUACACUUGACGCUCGAGAUUCGAUGUAUUGAUGAUCUGAAAAAAAAAAAGA